CAGUCGCCACGGUAAUACAGAGGGUGCGAGCGUUAAUCGGAUUUACUGGGCGUAAAGCGUGCGUAGGCGGCUUCUUAAGUCGGAUGUGAAAUCCCUGAGCUUAACUUAGGAAUUGCAUUCGAUACUGGGAAGCUAGAGUAUGGGAGAGGAUGGUAGAAUUCCAGGUGUAGCGGUGAAAUGCGUAGAGAUCUGGAGGAAUACCGAUGGCGAAGGCAGCCAUCUGGCCUAAUACUGACGCUGAGGUACGAAAGCAUGGGGAGCAAACAGGAUUAGAUACCCCUGUAGUCCCUGUCUCUUAUAC
rnacentral:rRNA from 1 species